rnacentral:tRNA from 1 species
AGUAAAGUGGCUGAUAUUUAAGCAAUAAAUUGUAAAUUUAUUUAAAAGAGUUUUCUUCUUUAUUA